ACCUUGAGCUGUAUGGUCUGGACCCACAGUGUGUGGCCAACACUCUCCAACAGAAGGUGCAAGCCAGUGCCACCAUCAGCCCAGCACCAGGAGCAAAGGACAGAGUCCAGGUCCAGAUCCAAGGCAACCAAAUCCAUCAUCUGGCCAAGAUGCUGCUCGAAGAAUAUCAGCUACCUCGGAAAUACAUCCAAGGCCUGGAGAAGGCUCCAAAGCUUGGCCGCAAGAAGUAGGAGAAAAAAUCUACCCUGAGGAUUGCUCAGCUCUCAUUAUUUAUAGAAGUGUUUGCUGCUAGCAAAUCAAGGAUCAUGUACAGGCCCUGCUCAUUCCAAAAUGAGUCCUGGAUGUUUACAAGGUUUUACAGUAGCCAUGGAAAAUAAACUCACACGACCGAGGCGAGACAAUUGCUAACCAAAGGCACUGCCAACAGGAUUUUGCGCUUAAAGAAGAGGCAAAUACUCCUAAAAACAGCUCGACUGACCCAUGAGAACUGGAAUUUCAGCACCCACCAACUCUUCAAAUGCCCCUCCUAUAGAAAAAAAACAAGCCCAAAAGAGCGAGUCCUGCUGGUGGCAGGAGGUUUUCAGCAGCAUCCACAGUGAUUGCAUACGAAGCCAUGCCUUCUACAAACUGUCAAAGACAUGCUGAGGCCAGGAAGGGAGAGGGGACACUCACCAAAACUCACUGGAAAAAUAAAAUAAAAAUAAAAUAAAGGAAA